rnacentral:rRNA from 1 species
CCAAUAGCGUAUAUUAAAGUUGUUGUGGUUAAAAAGCUCGUAGUUGAACCUUGGGCCUGGCUGGCCGGUCCCCCUCACCGGGUGCACUGAUCCAGCCGGGCCUUUCCCUCUGUGGAACCCCAUGGCCUUCACUGGCCGUGGCGGGGAAACAGGACUUUUACUUUGAAAAAAUUAGAGUGCUCCAGGCAGGCCUAUGCUCGAAUACAUUAGCAUGGAAUAAUAGAAUAGGACGUGUGGUUCUAUUUUGUUGGUUUCUAGGACCGCCGUAAUGAUUAAUAGGGACAGUCGGGGGCAUCAGUAUUCAAUUGUCAGAGGUGAAAUUCUUGGAUCUAUUGAAGACUAACUACUGCGAAAGCAUUUGCCAAGGAUGUUUUCAUUGAUAAGGAACGAAAGUUAGGGGAUCGAAGACGAUCAGAUACCGUCGUAGUCUUAACUAUAAACUAUGCCGACUAGGGAUCGGACGAUGUUAUUUCUUGACGCGUUCGGCACCUUUCG